CCUACGGGUGGCUGCAGUGGGGAAUAUUGGACAAUGGGGGGAACCCUGAUCCAGCCAUGCCGCGUGUGUGAAGAAGGCCCUCGGGUUGUAAAGCACUUUCAGUGAGGAAGAACGCCUGGUGGUUAAUACCCAUCAGGAAAGACAUCACUCACAGAAGAAGCACCGGCUAACUCCGUGCCAGCAGCCGCGGUAAUACGGAGGGUGCGAGCGUUAAUCGGAAUUACUGGGCGUAAAGCGCGCGUAGGUGGCUUGAUAAGCCGGUUGUGAAAGCCCCGGGCUCAACCUGGGAACGGCAUCCGGAACUGUCAAGCUAGAGUGCAGGAGAGGAAGGUAGAAUUCCCGGUGUAGCGGUGAAAUGCGUAGAGAUCGGGAGGAAUACCAGUGGCGAAGGCGGCCUUCUGGACUGACACUGACACUGAGGUGCGAAAGCGUGGGUAGCAAACAGGAUUAGAUACCCGAGUAGUC
rnacentral:rRNA from 1 species